rnacentral:rRNA from 1 species
GAGGCAGCCGACCACGGUACGGUCAGCGACUGGGGUGAAGUCGUAACAAGGUAGCCGUAGGGGAACCUGCGGCUGGAUCACCUCCUUUCU